UCCUGGCUUAGAACGAACGCUGGCGGCGUGCUUAACACAUGCAAGUCGAACGCGAAAGGGACUUCGGUCCUGAGUAAAGUGGCGCACGGGUGAGUAACGCGUAGAUAACCUGUCUUCAUGUCUGGAAUAAUACGCCGAAAGGGGUACUAAUACCGGAUAUUCUUGCUUUUCAUAAGUUAUGCAAGCAAAGGUGGCCUCUGCAUAUGCUACUGCAUGAAGAGGGGUCUGCGUACCAUUAGCUAGUAGGUGGGGUAAUGGCCUACCUAGGCGACGAUGGUUAGCGGGUCUGAGAGGAUGAUCCGCCACACUGGCACUGGAACACGGGCCAGACUCCUACGGGAGGCAGCAGUGAGGAAUAUUGCGCAAUGGGGGAAACCCUGACGCAGCGACGCCGCGUGAGUGAGGAAGGCCUUCGGGUCGUAAAGCUCUGUCAAGAGGAAAGAAGUGUACAAUGGCUAAUACCUGUUGUAUUUGACGGUACCUCUAAAGGAAGCACCGGCUAACUCCGUGCCAGCCGCCGC
rnacentral:rRNA from 1 species